rnacentral:rRNA from 1 species
ACUCCUACGGGAGGCAGCAGUGGGGAAUAUUGCUCAAUGGGCGCAAGCCUGAAGCAGCGACGCCGCGUGAGGGAUGAAGGCCUUCGGGUUGUAAACCUCUUUCAGCUCCGAAGAAGCGAAAGUGACGGUAGGAGCAAAAGAAGCACCGGCUAACUACGUGCCAGCAGCCGCGGUAAUACGUAGGGUGCAAGCGUUGUCCGGAUUUAUUGGGCGUAAAGAGCUCGUAGGCGGUCUGUCGCGCCUGCUGUGAAAACUCGGGGCUUAACCCCGGGCCUGCAGUGGGUACGGGCAGACUAGAGUGCGGUAGGGGAGACUGGAAUUCCUGGUGUAGCGGUGAAAUGCGCAGAUAUCAGGAGGAACACCGGUGGCGAAGGCGGGUCUCUGGGCCGUAACUGACGCUGAGGAGCGAAAGCAUGGGUAGCGAACAGGAUUAGAUACCCUGGUAGUCCAUGCCGUAAACGUUGGGCGCUAGGUGUGGGGGCUCAUUCCACGAGUUCCGUGCCGCAGCAAACGCAUUAAGCGCCCCGCCUGGGGAGUACGGCCGCAAGGCUAAAACUCAAAGGAAUUGACGGGGCCCCGCACAAGCGGCGGAGCAUGCGGAUUAAUUCGAUGCAACGCGAAGAACCUUACCAAGGCUUGACAUGCAGGGAAAUCUCACAGAGAUGUGAGGUCCGCAAGGGUCCUGCGCAGGUGGUGCAUGGUUGUCGUCAGCUCGUGUCGUGAGAUGUUGGGUUAAGUCCCGCAACGAGCGCAACCCUCGUUCUAUGUUGCCAGCGGAUAAUGCCGGGGACUCAUAGGAGACUGCCGGGGUCAACUCGGAGGAAGGUGGGGAUGACGUCAAAUCAUCAUGCCCCUUAUGUCUUGGGCUUCACGCAUGCUACAAUGGCCAGUACAAAGGGCUGCGAGACCGUAAGGUGGAGCGAAUCCCAAAAAGCUGGUCUCAGUUCGGAUUGGGGUCUGCAACUCGACCCCAUGAAGUCGGAGUCGCUAGUAAUCGCAGAUCAGCAACGCUGCGGUGAAUACGUUCCCGGGGC